UACAGAGGGGGCAAGCGCUGUUCGGAAUUACUGGGCGUAAAGGGCGCGUAGGCGGCCUGCUAAGUCGAACGUGAAAUCCCCGGGCUCAACCCGGGAACUGCGUCCGAUACUGGCAGGCUUGAAUCCGGGAGAGGGAUGCGGAAUUCCAGGUGUAGCGGUGAAAUGCGUAGAUAUCUGGAGGAACACCGGUGGCGAAGGCGGCAUCCUGGACCAACACUGACACUGAGGAGCGAAAGCCAGGGGAGCAAACGGG
rnacentral:rRNA from 1 species